rnacentral:siRNA from 1 species
GAGGGUGCUAUGCUUAAGGUCU